UUUUAAAAUAUUGCUGGUGUAGAGGUGACAUAUUGAGAGGUUACAAGUUACAUGAAUCAGGGCUAUACCCCUGCACAGCUUAACCUUCUUGGGAGAUAUUCCUUUAUAUUGAGUUGAGACCACUGAAUAAUUGUGCUAAUGUAUGAAGACAUGACACUUCUUGAAGACCAGUGGGCAGUGAGGCAAUUUGCUCUGGCCUCUUGCAUCAGUUCCAAAAUCGGAACUUGGACUUGGUAUCCGACGCUUUCGCUCAUUGGCUGGAGCUCUAUCAACUGAGUCACACUUCCAACCCAGGCGUAUCAUCUUCAAUAUACUUUAACAUACAGAAGUAUUACUUUUGGGGAAACUAUUAGAUACUGAGAUGCAGAUAAACAUGAAAAAGAAUUCAAGUAAUCAAAAUGUGACAUAUAAAAGCACAGAACUAUGCUAGAAUUCAUAAAUCUUGUCUGGUGAGUGGAGGUGUUAUGCUUAGUAUUUUUGAAAGAUAGCCAAUUACUCUCUAGAACAACUA